rnacentral:rRNA from 1 species
UACGUAGGGUGCGAGCGUUAAUCGGAAUUACUGGGCGUAAAGCGUGCGCAGGCGGUUCGUUAAGUCAGAUGUGAAAGCCCCGGGCUUAACCUGGGAACUGCAUUUGAAACUGGCGGGCUUGAGUGUGGCAGAGGGGGGUGGAAUUCCGCGUGUAGCAGUGAAAUGCGUAGAGAUGCGGAGGAACACCGAUGGCGAAGGCAGCCCCCUGGGCCAACACUGACGCUCAGGCACGAAAGCGUGGGGAGCAAACAGG